rnacentral:lncRNA from 1 species
ACCAAACUGAGGCUAUGCUUGGAAUGGAGUACUGGCUUACUAGCUCGCGACGGUAGCAGCCAAUAGGAGCAUCUCAUGUGAGGAAGCCGAAGACAUGGCGCUGCGCAUAGGACGUGCUUGCAGAAGAGAGUCCGUGUUCCACAAAGCAAACUGAGGUGGCUCGAAAGGAAAUUUGAACACAUGGCUAACUGCACAGGCUGGACCCAAUUCCGAGGCCGGUGAGCGGUGUGUGUGUGUGUUUAAUGGAGAGCCGAGAGCCACUG